rnacentral:rRNA from 1 species
UACGGCCCAAGAGUUCAUAUCGACGGCGGUGGUUGGCACCUCGAUGUCGGCUCAUCACAUCCUGGGGCUGAAGUAGGUCCCAAUGGUAUGGCUGUUCGCCAUUUAAAGUGGUACGCGAGCUGGGUUUAGAACGUCGUGAGACAGUUCGGUCCCUAUCUGCCGUGGGCACUGGAGAACUGAGGGGGGCUGCUCCUAGUACGAGAGGACCGGAGUGGACGCAUCACUGGUGUUCGGGUUGUCAUGCCAAUGGCACUGCCCGGUAGCUAAAUGCGGAAGAGAUAAGUGCUGAAAGCAUCUAAGCACGAAACUUGCCCCGAGAUGAGUUCUCCCUGACUCCUUGAGAGUCCUGAAGGAACGUUGAAGACGACGACGUUGAUAGGCCGGGUGUGUAAGCGCAGCGAUGCGUUGAGCUAACCGGUACUAAUGAACCGUGAGGCUUAACCUUACAACGCCGAAGCUGUU